GACGAACGCUGGCGGCGUGCCUAACACAUGCAAGUCGAGCGAGUUAAUCUCCUUCGGGAGUGAAGCUAGCGGCGGACGGGUGAGUAACACGUGGGCAACCUGCCUCAUAGAGGGGAAUAGCCUUCCGAAAGGAAGAUUAAUACCGCAUAAGAUUGUAGCUUCGCAUGAAGUAGCAAUUAAAGGAGCAAUCCGCUAUGAGAUGGGGCCCCGCGGCGCAUUAGCUAGUUGGUGAGGUAACGGCUCACCAAGGCGACGAUGCGUAGCCGACCUGAGAGGGUGAUCGGCCACGAUUGGGACUGAGACACGGCCCAGACUCCUACGGGAGGCAGCAGUGGGGAAUAUUGCACAAUGGGGGAAACCCUGAUGCAGCAACGCCGCGUGAGUGAUGACGGCC
rnacentral:rRNA from 1 species